rnacentral:rRNA from 1 species
UUAUGGCUAGAUAAAGUACAAGUCGUAACAAGGUUUCAGUUGUAGAACCAGCUGAAGGAUCAUU